UGGGUUAUGAUGAAGCUGAAUAUAUAAUCCAACACUUGAUCUGAGUUAUUAUGAGUGAUGGUAUACAAUUCGAUGCCUCGGAAUCUAC
rfam:Glycine max cultivar Williams 82 chromosome 1, whole genome shotgun sequence.